UAAUUUAGUCCGCGAAUCAAGUUUUAUAAUUAUGGGUUGUAACAACCAACCUCAAAAAAAUUAUCCUUCCCAAAGAAAUCUCUUCUUUUCUCCUCUUUUUUAGUACCUUUGUCAGUGGUUAUACACUGUUUAUGCUGACCAAUGUUUCAGUGUUGUUAACUUUCCCCAUAAGAUUCAAUCCAACUCAUUAGGGGACAAUUUUAGAUAUAUUAACAAUUCCAAUAUAGAAUCUUGAAUAAUUCCUUAAAAAGUGUUUCUUUUUUUAGAAUAAAAAUCCAAUCUUUUUGUGUAUCACUUAUAUGGUGUCUUUAACUUUUAGAUUCUAAUUUUUCUUGAAUCUCCAUCUGGGGUUGUUGUUUUCUUGAUUUCUGGAUCUGCUGAGAUAAAUGGGUAUUUGUUUGAGCAAAAGUAAACCAACAGAGUACAAGUCUAGUGCGCAUCAUAGAUCAGGUGGGAGUGAUGGGGGUAGGGGGCAUCAUCAUGGAACCCAUCAAACUCAAAUUCAGUAUACUAAAUCAGCAGGCCCAGAAACUCAAUCACCCAUGAGAACUCAAGCAAGUCGUAAACCAGUAGAAACCAUUUUGGGCAAGGCAUUUGAAGAUGUUAAGGCACACUAUACACUAGGUAAAGAAUUGGGUAGAGGUCAAUUUGGGGUUACAUUUCUUUGUACUGAAAUAUCAAGUGGUCAUCAAUAUGCUUGUAAGUCAAUAUCAAAGAAGAAACUUGUUACUAAAUCUGAUAAAGCUGAUAUGAGAAGAGAGAUUCAGAUUAUGCAGCAUUUGAGUGGACAACCAAAUAUAGUUGCAUUUAAAGGUGCUUAUGAGGAUAAGAAUUCAGUGUGUCUUGUUAUGGAGUUGUGUGCUGGUGGAGAGUUAUUUGAUAGGAUCAUAGCUAAGGGUCAUUACACUGAAAGAGCUGCUGCAUCAAUGUGUAGAGCUAUUGUUAAUGUUGUACAUGUUUGCCGCCUGAGAACUUUCUCUUGUCAGACGAGUGAAAAUGCUGCUUUGAAGGCAACAGAUUUUGGGCUGUCUAUGUUCAUUGAAGAAGGUAAGGUGUACAAGGAUAUUGUUGGGAGUGCUUACUAUGUUGCCCCAGAAGUGUUGCGUAAGAGUUAUGGCAAGGAAAUUGAUGUUUGGAGUGCAGGUGUUAUGUUGUAUAUACUACUUAGUGGUGUGCCUCCGUUUUGGGCAGAAACCGAGAGAGGUAUAUUUGAUGCCAUAUUAAAAGAAGACAUUGACUUUGAAAGUCAACCUUGGCCCUCUAUCACAACUAGUGCCAAGGACCUGGUCCGAAAGAUGCUCAAUAAAGACCCAAAGCAACGUAUUUCUGCUGCUCAAGUUCUUGAUCAUCCUUGGCUCAAGGUAGGUGGAGUAGCAUCAGAUAAACCAUUAGAUAAUGCUGUCCUCUCAAGAAUGAAGCAAUUCAGAGCUAUGAACAAACUCAAGACUUGCUUUAAAGGUCAUUGCUGAGAAUCUCUCAGCAGAUGAAAUUCAGGGGCUCAAAUCAAUGUUCCAUAACAUUGACACUGAUAAUAGUGGAACAAUCACUUAUGAAGAAUUGAACAGCGGAUUGGCCAGACUUGGAUCAAAGCUCACAGAGGCGGAAGUAAAGCAAUUGAUGGAAGCUGCUGAUGUGGAUGGAAAUGGCUCGAUCGACUAUAUUGAGUUUAUCACUGCCACCAUGCAUAAACAUAGACUAGAAAGAGAUGAAAAUCUAUACAAAGCAUUUCAGUAUUUCGAUAAAGAUGGUAGCGGGUUCAUUACAAGAGAUGAACUCGAAACAUCUAUGGAAGAGCAUGGAAUAGGUGAUCCAGCUAGUAUAAGGGAAAUAAUAUCUGAAGUGGACGCUGAUAAUGAUGGAAGAAUCAACUAUAAGGAAUUUUGUACAAUGAUGACAAGUGGAGCUAAACAACCAGGCAAGCUCUUCUAAUAACACGAAUCUCCUAGUCGUUGGAGGUAGUGAUUCUUCAACGUUUGCAUCAUGGACUGCCCAUAUGAUAUGACAGACAUCAAGUACAUGAACAACCUGAACUAGUUGGAGCUUUUAACUUCUCCCUGUAAAUUGGUGAUUCCUGUUUCUGUUCUUUUUCUCACUAUGUUGAAUUGUCUACUCAUUAGUUUUUUCUAUUCCACAAAGAGCACAGAGGAAAUGAGUGAAGAACAUAAACUCUUUACUAUUUGAAUAGAGAAACAAAUGACCUUGUAAAUAUAUCUUGUGUUAUUUUCAAGUGUUUUUAUAUGUAAAAUAAACAUCUCUUGUAAAAAGAAACUGUGGAACAUCUUUCACCCACAUUUUGUUUA